UACGUAGGGGGCGAGCGUUGUCCGGAUUUACUGGGCGUAAAGCGCGUGUAGGCGGUCCGGUAAGUCCGCUGUGAAAGUCGGGGGCUCAACCCUCGGAUGCCGGUGGAUACUGUCGGGCUUGAGUACGGAAGAGGCGAGUGGAAUUCCUGGUGCAGCGGUGAAAUGCGCAGAUAUCAGGAGGAACACCAAUUGCGAAGGCAGCUCGCUGGGACGUUACUGACGCUGAGACGCGAAAGCGUGGGGAGCAAACGGG
rnacentral:rRNA from 1 species